rnacentral:misc_RNA from 1 species
GAUGAAGAACGUAGCGAAAUGCGAUACGUAAUGUGAAUUGCAGAAUUCAGUGAAUCAUCGAAUCUUUGAACGCACAUUGCGCCUGCCAGCACUCUGGCAGGCAUGCCUGUUCGAGCGUCAUUUCAACCAUCAAGCCCUAGGCUUGCGUUGGAGCCCUGCGGCUGCCGCAGGCCCCUAAAAGCAGUGGCGGGCUCGCUAUCACACCGAGUGCAGUAGAUUACUCUUCGCUCAGGGCGUGUGGCGGGUUCCAGCCGUGAAACCCCCUACUUCUCAAGGUUGACCUCGGAUCAGGUAGGAAGACCCGCUGAACUUAAGCAUAUCAAUAAGCGGAGGA